CAGUCGCCGCGGUAAUACGAAGGGGGCUAGCGUUGUUCGGAAUUACUGGGCGUAAAGGGCGCGUAGGCGGCCAUUCAAGUUAGAUGUGAAAGCCCUGGGCUCAACCUAGGAAUUGCAUUUGAUACUGUUUGGCUUGAGUUCGGGAGAGGUGAGUGGAAUUCCCAGUGUAGAGGUGAAAUUCGUAGAUAUUGGGAAGAACACCAGUGGCGAAGGCGGCUCACUGGACCGACACUGACGCUGAGGCGCGAAAGCGUGGGGAGCAAACAGGAUUAGAUACCCGGGUAGUCCCUGUCUCUUAUAA
rnacentral:rRNA from 1 species